AAUUAGGGAAAGAGUUAAUUACAGAAAAGUUAAUUAUGGGGGAAGUUCUGGGGUAUUAAUAACGGAGUUAAUUAAGCAAUGAUUAAUUAUGUGGGUAGUCCGUUAAGUGGUUAAUUAGGGAAAUAAUUAAGAAAAUGUUAAUUACAGGGGCAGUUCCGGGGGGUUCUUUACAGGGUUAAUUAGGGGAAGAGUUAACGAAGGAAAGGUUAAUUACGGGGGAGUCCUGGUGGGUUCGUUAUGGCGUUAAUUACUGGGGGUUCUGGGGCGUUCAUUAUGCGGUUAAUUACUGGGGAAUCAAUUAAUGGGGGGCUCAUCAAUCAAUUAAUGGGGGCUCAUUAACGAGGGCAGUCCUGGGGCUUAAUUAGGGGAUAAAUUAAUGGGGGGCUCAUCAACAGGGAACCGCUAAUGAGGCGUUGAUUAACGAGUGUUAAUUACAGCGCUGCUAACGGCGCUAAUGAACCUGCCAGGCUGGGCCGCGCCCGCAGAAGCCACGCCCACACCUGAGCCACGCCCACACCUGAGUCACACCCACAUCUGAGUCACACCACACCUGAGCCACGCCCACACCUGAGUCACCUCCCCCCUCACAAAUGACAUCACACCAGUGCCACUGGAACAGCCGUGUUGGACCCGAAAGGUGUCACACACCUGGGCAGGUGUGACAGGGACAGGGGUGACACAAUCCAGGACAGGUGUGACAGGGACACAGGUGACACAGACAGGGACAGGUGUGACACAAUCAGGGACAGGUGUGACACCUGGAGCAGCCAUGUUGGACCUGCAAGGUGUCACACUCACACCUGGGGACAGGUGUGACAAGGACAGGUGACACCUGCUGACACCUGCCACACGUUGUCACCUGUGCCACACCUGUGUCACCCCCCGUGUCCCCAACACCUCCCGGGGCUGCGCCACAGCCACAGGGCCGGGCACAGGUGUGGACAGGUGCGGCACAGGUGGCACAGGUGUCACACACUCACAGGUGUGGCACAGGUGUCACACACAGGUGUGUACCAGGUACAUCACACACAGGUGCCACACACCUGUCACAGCUGCCUUACAGGUGUCACAGGUGUCCCGCACAGUCACAGGUGUGGCACAGGUGUCACACACAAAGGUGUCACUCAUAGGUGUCACACAAUCCCAGGUGUUUCACACAGACUCACAGGUGUGGCACAGGUGUGU
rnacentral:lncRNA from 12 species